rnacentral:rRNA from 1 species
UAAAAAGCUCGUAGUUGGAUCUGUGUAUCGGACGGUCGGUUCGCCGCUCGCGGCGUUUAACUGACCGGUCCGGACGUCCUGCCGGUGGGCGGCGCGGGGUUCGGAGUACCGGGGCUCGCUUCCCUUUUCGCGGUCCGUGGGCGCGCUUCGGCGCGAUUCCUGGCCCGGAUCGGGGGGCCCGUCCUCGGCUCCUUAUUUCUCGCCCGUCCGUUAACCUUCCCUUCGGGCUGCUCUUAACCGAGUGGUCCGGUGGGCCGGCACGUUUACUUUGAACAAAUUUGAGUGCUCAAAGCAGGCCUCGAGUCGCCUGAAAACUGUGUGCAUGGAAUAAUGGAAUAGGGCCUCUUUUCUAUUUUGUUGGCUUUUCUGAACAAGAGGUAAUGAUUAAUAGGGACAGACGGGGGCAUUCGUAUUGCGACGUUAGAGGUGAAAUUCUUGGAUCGUCGCAAGACGGACGGAUGCGAAAGCGUUUGCCAAGAAUGUUUUCGCUAAUCAAGAACGAAAGUUAGAGGUUCGAAGGCGAUCAGAUACCGCCCUAGUUCUAACCAUAAACGAUGCCAGCCAGCGAUGCGCCGACGUUCCUCCGAUGACUCGGCGCGCAGCUUCCGGGAAACCAAAAGCUUUUGGGUUCCGGGG